rnacentral:rRNA from 1 species
ACGGGUGAGUAACACGUGAGCAACCUGCCCCGGGCUCUGGGACAACCGCUGGAAACGGCGGCUAAUACCGGAUACGACCUCUCUCCGCAUGGAGUGGGUUGGAAAAAUUUUUUGGCUGGGGAUGGGCUCGCGGCCUAUCAGCUUGUUGGUGGGGUGAUGGCCUACCAAGGCGACGACGGGUAGCCGGCCUGAGAGGGUGACCGGCCACACUGGGACUGAGACACGGCCCAGACUCCUACGGGAGGCAGCAGUGGGGAAUAUUGCACAAUGGGCGAAAGCCUGAUGCAGCGACGCCGCGUGAGGGAUGACGGCCUUCGGGUUGUAAACCUCUUUCAGCUCCGAAGAAGCGCAAGUGACGGUACGAGCAGAAAAAGCACCGGCUAACUACGUGCCAGCAGCCGCGGUAAUACGUAGGGUGCAAGCGUUGUCCGGAAUUAUUGGGCGUAAAGAGCUCGUAGGCGGUGUGUCGCGUCUGCUGUGAAAUCUCAAGGCUCAACUCUGAGCUUGCAGUGGGUACGGGCACACUUGAGUGCUGUAGGGGAGACUGGAAUUCCUGGU